rnacentral:rRNA from 1 species
ACGGAGGAUGCAAGCGUUAUCCGGAUUCAUUGGGUUUAAAGGGUGCGCAGGCGGAAUGAUAAGUCAGUGGUGAAAUCCUACGGCUCAACUGUAGAACUGCCAUUGAUACUGUCGUUCUUGAGUACACUUGGAGUGGGCGGAAUGUGUCAUGUAGCGGUGAAAUGCUUAGAUAUGACACAGAACACCGAUCGCGAAGGCAGCUCACUAAAUUGUAACUGACGCUCAGGCACGAAAGCGUGGGGAUCAAACAG